rnacentral:rRNA from 1 species
AUGGAUGAUGAAAAAGUAGAAUUGGUGCUUGCUAAAAGUAAAGAAGACAUACUUGAAGCACGCAAUUACGUCCAUGGCCAGCCAUUUCUUGUUGGUGAAUACUUUGAUGAGUGCAGUUCCAGCUGCCGCAAGUUACAUGAAUAUUGCAUGGAUCAAAUAUCACCAGGCCAUCAUGGUUUGCUAGUCCACUUCAACAGAGAUCAUUUCCGACACGAUGCUGGUUCAUUCGAUGUGAGUUUCGAGGACUUACAUCUCUUCUUCAACUUCAACGAGCUUGAUGCCACUCUAGUUAGAUGCCUGAUUUUGUAA